rnacentral:lncRNA from 1 species
GAGGAGGGGGCACCCAGAAGGGGCCCUGAAGUCAAGGGCAUCGUCCAACCUUUCUACCUCCCCAGCUGAAGACAGGCUGGAGGACAAUUCUCCAGAGUUUCAUAACAAAGAAGAGAAAAAAGAAAUCAAAAAGCCCUGGAGGAUAGGGAGUGUGACCACUGUAUGUCAGCCACUGGGGGACCGGCUUCAGCUUACAACCACCUUCCAAAUUCCACCCUCUCACCUUGGCAGAAGCUGGCCAGGAAUUGGGGCCAAUGGAUGGGUGGGGUCUGCACAGGACACCGUAUUCAGGUCCCCAUGACGGCCUCACACAAAGGUGGUGGCCCUGCAGUUCCAGGUGCCACACAAACGCCAGCCCCUGCUCGGGCCCUGAUCUUUGAGGAAGGGGAGCAGCAGAACCCGAGCACUGACCCCACAGUGCCACUCACACCCACAGACGAUUCUCCACAGAGGCAUCAGGUCUCGGUCUUGGCCACCUCCUCCUGCAGGGCCUCAGCUGUUUCCUGGGACUCACGUGGUCCUUCCUCACAUGCAGCUCUGGUGGAGUUUUGCUCAGGUAGCCCAGGCUGGAGUGUAACGGCACGAUCUCGGCUCACUGCAACUUCUUUCUUCUGGGUUCAAACAACUCUCCCACCUCAGCCUCCUGAGUGGCUAGGAUCACAGGUGCUAGUUCUGGCAAAGCCAGUCACCUGCCCAGGGCAGAGAGUAGCCUGAAGCUGAUGCUACGGAGAGACUGGGGCCUUCAGUCCAACAGCCUGCAAGCAAUAGAAUUCUGCCAGCAACACAGAAGCGAGCGUGGAAGCAGCUCCUCCCCUGAUGAGCCUGAGCCUUCAGAAGACAUGGCAGCCCUGAGCAGACACUUGCUGCAGCCGCGGAGAGCCCCUGGGGCAGAGGGCCCAGUGAAGCCUGCACUCCUGGCCCAAGGAGUAAGCAUUCCUGUGGUAUAACUGUGUGCUGGUGUGGGCCACAGUUUGGAGUCAUCUGUCAGGGGACAAUAAAGAACAAACACACGCCUCA